rnacentral:sRNA from 2 species
CCAACAAGUUCCUUCUCGACCAACACAAGGAGGGCCGCAUAUCGGUGGAAUCGGUUACCAAAGUCACCAAUUUCUGGGCGUCAAAGAAUCGUCCGCAGGUCGUGCAGUUUCAAUUCGACCAGCUCACCCAGCGUGACCUCGUCAUCUAUAACCUACGUACGUUCAAAUUUCAUGGCGAAUGUGCACAGAAUGUGGUAGCUCUCAAUGCCACCUUGCGUAAUUGGAAGGCGAUCGCCAAGGAGAUGAGUGUUCGUACCUUUUGCACUCCAGAUAGCGUCAUUAGAAAGCAUAUGCAUGAUACGCACAAGAUCCUGGAGAUGCUCGGCGCGCCGAUUGUCACCUUCCUCGCGUUUCAGGAGCUUCAGGUCAACACACUUUCGCUCAUGAAACAGGAGCAGGAGAAGAAGAUGCAAGCAAUGGGGAGGCAUGGUGUGACGAGAGAGUAUCAUCCACCUUCCCUAUCCCAGCGUGACAACGA